rnacentral:rRNA from 1 species
CAGUCGCCGCGGUAAUACGAAGGGGGCUAGCGUUGCUCGGAAUUACUGGGCGUAAAGGGAGCGUAGGCGGACAUUUAAGUCAGGGGUGAAAUCCCAGAGCUCAACUCUGGAACUGCCUUUGAUACUGGGUGUCUUGAGUGUGAUAGAGGUAUGUGGAACUCCGAGUGUAGAGGUGAAAUUCGUAGAUAUUCGGAAGAACACCAGUGGCGAAGGCGACGUACUGGAUCAUUACUGACGCUGAGGCUCGAAAGCGUGGGGAGCAAACAGGAUUAGAUACCCCUGUAGUCCCUGUCUCUUAUAC